AGACGGGUAGGGGGCCUGAGAGGGUGACCCCCCACACGGGCACUGAGACACGGGCCCGACUUCUACGGAAGGCAGCACUGACGGAUAUUGCCCAAUGGACGGAAGUCUGAGGCCGCAACGCCGCGUGCGGGAUGAAGGCCUUCGGGUUGUAAACCGCUUUUCUGCUCGAAGAGGAAGGACGGUAGCGCACGAAGAAGUCUCGGCUAACUACGUGCCACCAGCCGCGGUUGAACGUAGGAGGCGAGCGUCAUCCGGAUUUACUGGGUGUAAAGCGCGUGCAGGCGGUCGCGUCAGUGGUGCGUGAAAGCGCCCGGCUCAACCGGGCGAGGCCGUGCCAAACUGCGUGACUGGAGGCAGGUAGAGGCGCGUGGAAUUCCGGGUGUAGUGGUGAAAUGCGUAGAUCUCCGGAGGAACACCAGUGGCGAAGGCGGUGCGCUGGGCCUGACCUGACGCUAAGACGCGAAAGCAUGGGGAGCGAACGGGAUUAGAAACCCCGGUAGUCCAUGCUGUAAACGAUGCAGACUAGGUCUUGCGUGCGACGAGUAUGCAGUGCCGAAGCAGACGUGAUAAGUCACGCCACCUGGGGACUACGCCCGCAAGGUUAAAACUCAAAGGAAUUGACGGGGGCCCGCACAAGCAGCGGAGCGUGUGGUUUAAUCUCGAGGCUACACGAAGAACCUGACCUGGGCUUGACAUGGCGAUGGUAGGGAACCGAAAGGGGACCGACCUUCGGGAGCCGUCACAGGUGCUGCAUGGCGGUCGUCAGCUCGUGUCGUGAGAUGUUCGGUUAAGUCCGGUAACGAGCGCAACCCUCGCCGUUAGUUACAAGUGUCUAACGGGACUGCCCGAUGAACGCGGGAGGAAGGUGGGGAUGACGUCAAGUCAGCAUGGCCUUUAUGUCCAGGGCUACACACACGCUACAAUGGCCGGUACAAUGGCUCGCCAACCCGCGAGGGGGAGCCAAUCCAUCAAAGCCGGUCUCAGUUCGGAUUGCAGGCUGCAACCCGCCUGCAUGAAGUCGGAGUUGCUAGUAACCGCAGGUCAGCUAUACUGCGGUGAUACGUUCCCGGGCCUUGUACACACCGCCCGUCACGUCGUGGGAGCUGCUCAUGCCUGAAGUCGGUAGGUUAACCGUAAGGAGACAGCCG
rnacentral:rRNA from 1 species